UUUAUAUAUAUAUAUAUAUAUAUAUAUAUAUAUAUAUAUAUUAUAUAUAUAACCAUCACAGUUUAUGUUCAUUAAGUUAUGUUCAAUAAUGAAACAAUUUUUACUGUUAAAUUAAAUAAUAAGCGUUUAAUAAUGAAUUUAAAAUUAAUGUUCUUUAUAAUCUUAUAAUAAUCUUCUUUAUAAAGACUACAACUCAAAAAUUGAUAUUAUUAUUUAACCCAACAGCAUUUCCAAUAGAUAAAGAAUUUUGAAUUUAAAAUAAAUCUUUAUGGAAACACCUGUUAAGUAUGUUUGACAAAAUUCUUAUCAUAACUAUAAUACAUAACUCUGACAAUACUGUAGAACAGUAUAAUCGUUAAACCAUACUUUUCUUGAUUACUUGUUGAUAUUUUCAUUAAAAGAUAAGUAAAAUAUUAGAUUUAUACUGACAUUUUAUAUCAGACUACUAAUAAUAAUUUACUUAAAAUUCAUAUCUGUUUAUAAUAUGGACAACAUUUUUUGUUUUCUACACUACAAUUUAUAAACUUAAAUUUUUUCAUAUUUUAGUGCAGAAUAUUAUUUUUCUAUUAAGAUAAUAUUAAACAUUUCUAAAGGAAAGUAUUCAUACAGAUCGUAUGUUCUUAAAUAAUUACAUAGCUUAAUAUUUAUUUAUUGUAUAUUCCGUGUUACGUGUAUUUUGUAUCAGAAUUAUUUAUAGUAAUUUUCUUAAAUAAAAAGAUACUACAAUACUCUAGAUAAAAUAAU